rnacentral:rRNA from 1 species
GACGAACGCUGGAGGCGUGCUUAACACAUGCAAGUCGAACGAAAAUACCAAGCUUGCUUGGUUGAUUAGUGGCGAACGGGUGAGUAACACGUGAGUAACCUGCCCCUUACUUUCCUGGAUAACUGCUCGAAAGGGUAGCUAAUACGGGAUAUUCUGACCAGUCUGCAUGGGUUGGUUUGGAAAGGUUGUUUUUCUGGUAAGGGAUGGGCUCGCGGCCUAUCAGCUUGUUGGUGGGGUGAUGGCCUACCAAGGCUUUGACGGGUAGCCGGCCUGAGAGGGUGGACGGUCACACUGGGACUGAGAUACGGCCCAGACUCCUACGGGAGGCAGCAGUGGGGAAUAUUGCACAAUGGGCGCAAGCCUGAUGCAGCGACGCCGCGUGAGGGAUGAAGGCCUUCGGGUUGUAAACCUCUUUCGUCAGGGAACAAGGCAUUGCCUUUUUUGGUGGUGUUGAGGGUACCUGGAUAAGAAGCGCCGGCUAACUACGUGCCAGCAGCCGCGGUAAUACGUAGGGCGCAAGCGUUGUCCGGAAUUAUUGGGCGUAAAGAGCUCGUAGGCGGCUGGUCGCGUCUGUCGUGAAAACUUCCGGCUCAACCGGGGGCUUGCGGUGGGUACGGGCCGGCUAGAGUGCGGUAGGGGUAACUGGAACUCCUGGUGUAGCGGUGGAAUGCGCAGAUAUCAGGAAGAACACCGAUGGCGAAGGCAGGUUACUGGGCCGUUACUGACGCUGAGGAGCGAAAGCGUGGGGAGCGAACAGG